rnacentral:rRNA from 1 species
ACAUGCAAGUCGAGCGGAGAAGGGAGCUUGCUCCUGGAUUCAGCGGCGGACGGGUGAGAAUGCCUAGGAAUCUGCCUGGUAGUGGGGGAUAACGUCCGGAAACGGGCGCUAAUACCGCAUACGUCCUGAGGGAGAAAGUGGGGGAUCUUCGGACCUCACGCUAUCAGAUGAGCCUAGGUCGGAUUAGCUAGUUGGUGGGGUAAAGGCCUACCAAGGCGACGAUCCGUAACUGGUCUGAGAGGAUGAUCAGUCACACUGGAACUGAGACACGGUCCAGACUCCUACG